AUGUGCGGACAGAGGCCCUGGCCUGGCUGGGACUGGAAAGGCCACAGCAGGAAGAGGCCGAGAUGGUCGAGAGUCAUAAUUACUACCUGGAUGACGUUUCUGAUCUGCUGGAUGAGCUUCUGUCAAAGAUUCAUGCUUUGUCUGACAGCCUACAGCUUCCUCUUCCAGAGCAGCAAUUCUGUGAUAUGCGAGAGGCCAGGGCAAAAGGUCAUUCCUCAGCGGGUAUUUCUGCCUAACAAGCCACUGGGGUGAGUCAGUGCAGCGACAUGCGGUGGGGCUGCCCCCCUCUGCACUCCUCUCGCCCCCCCCCCUGCGUGGUGACCGCAGGGUGCCUCGGCUGCAUUGAUCCACCCACGGGGAGAGCCGCACCCCAGCGGUGCUUCUCGCUGAGCAGAAGGACUUUGCCCCCAAAUUCUUAAUUCUUAAUUCUUCCUGAUGUGCGAGCCCCGUUGCCACCCCACCCCACCCCACCCCGGGGACACGCUGCUUUGCAGGGAUGGCCAGGCCACUGAAAUUUCGAUGCAAGUGAGAGAUGCCAGAGCAGCUUUUCCUGCAUAUUUUCCUGUGGAUUCACCUUUAUGAAUUUGGUUACGUAAGGCAGGAACAUCCAGAAGGUCAGAAACACCCUGGCCUCAAGCUAUAGUCUGCCCCAGCGGGUUUGGUCCUUUUUUACAAAGAAGUGUUAAUUCCUUAGCACUCGCCUGCCAGGAGGGACACUGGGCGUUUGGUGUGACCGCGGAGGAUCCACACUCACUUUCCACAUCGGGGUCCUCGUGACUGUGGACGUGGGUCUGCCGAGGAGGCUGGCACGCCGGCGCCCGUGGCCCCUGCUUUCAGGGAGGUUUGUGUGUGCGUCCUGCGAGUCAGUGACAGUUAGGACACAGGGAGCCAUCAAAAGGGUGGAUUUUCUUCCUACUUCUUCCCUUAACUUUGCCAGUUUGCGGGCGAGCUUAGGAGAUACUUAGAAGACCUGAUUUUCCUUAAUACGGACCGCCUACAAAUGUCACAGAAACCUGUCCGGGAAGUUUGCUCAGCUCCCUUCUCCCACCCAGGACUUUUUGUGGUCAUAACUGGGUUCUGUAAACCCAGCUUUCUGGGCUCAUGAACACUCAAUACUUGAAUCCUUGAGAAGAAAACGGGUUAUGAAGGGUUUGGUUUGCUUAAGGAAAUAUCCACUCAGCCUGAGCACACGGAAAGUUUGGGCCCCCCAGAGAGGCAGACAGGACUGGUGGGGGAGCACCUGCUGAGUGAGGGUCAGAGGCCAGUGGCGGGGGGUGGGGGGCUUGGGUAGUGACUUCACUCCUGAGCCUCAGUGUCCUCCCCGGUAAAGGAGGCUCUCCCGGUGCCUAAAUGUGUGGUGCUCCUCACGGGCUUCACAUAUAAUCACUCAACCUGGGUUUUCAUUUGUUCACCAAGAGAUGCAGCGGGCACAGCUCCAGGGGCUGCGGGUGGGGGUCCACUGAUGUCUGUGUCCACCAAGAAGACACAGUGUUCCUGAACUUGGAAAAUGCACAUCUCAGAACUGGGGGCAAAGUUCUGAGCAACGGAUCUGCAGGACGAGGCUGUGAGGGGCCACUCAGGAUGCAGAUGCUGGAUUACAGUGAGGUCUUGGGGUGCCCGGCUGGCGGGGUUGGUGGAACACGUGACUUUGGAUCUCACGGCUGUGAGUUCAAGCCCCACAUUAGGUGUAGAGAUCACUUAAGAAUAAAAUCUUUUUAAGGGAGAGUAAAGAAUAAAAUUAGGGGGCGCCUGGGAGGCCCAGUUGGUGAAGCAUGUGCCUUCAGCUCAGGUCCUGAUCUCGGGGUCCUGGGAUUGAGCCCCAUGUGGGCUCUGUGCUCAGCGGGGCGUCUGCUUCUCUCUCUGUCCCCACUCCCACCCUCUCUGUCCCAGAUAAAUAAAUAAAAUCUUUUUAAAUAAAUAAAUGAAUAAAAUGAGGUGUCCUGGGAAGAACGUGCUCCCCUGUAACUCCCAAGAUCCACUCGGUCUGGAAGCAGGAGAUUUGUCCUGGAUUUGACUGAAGUGACUCAGCAUUCCUGCUGGGCAGCCCGUGAGCUGUGUCUCCCCCUCUUCUCACAGUGUUUUCUACAGAACCGACUGCCCAGUAAAUAUGUAGCCAUCAAUUACUGGCAAAAAAGAAGCUACCGGAAUGUGGAUACGGGUAGAAAGAGGCAAAAUAACCAGGGCAGGAUGUUCAUACAUGAUUCCAAGUAGAUGUACAGGAGCGCUCCAGUGAACUAUUCUUGUAAUUUUUUUUUUUUUUUGUAAUUUUUCUUAUACGUCUGAGAUGAUUUCCAAAUGAAAAGCUUCGGGGGCACCGGCCUGGCUUGAUUGACGGAGUGACUCUUGAUCUCACGGUUGUGGGUUCGAGCCUCACACUGAGUGCAGAGCUGACUUAAAAAAAAUAAGAAAAUAAACAAAAAGUCUCUGUUGACUCAUUCAACGGCAAGAUGACAACACUCUAGAGUCACAGCUACGGAUGUGAUUAGUUGUGAUGGUUCUUGUUUUUUUUCCUAAACUUUUCUCCAUGCCCAAGUAUAUUUUGGAAUUUUUCCCUUCCAUGGACACCACAAGAAAAGCUAAUUAAAUUCAAGAGAACUAUUCAGAUGUGAUUUGCAAACACAUACUACAUUAGAGGUGGAAAGAACCAGACGGAAAUGUUCGAGCAGACAGUCUUCAGAGAUAAAUGUCCUCUGCUCUCGGGAUUAUAUUUAAGUCUGCCCGUGAUAACUUCACAAGACGGAGCGUUGUUGUUGGGCUUGAUUCAUUCCUUCCGGGCAGACUGAGCUCCGGCAAGGUUGAAAUAUUAUUGUUAAUCCCUUUUUAUUUAGAUGUGCGCUAGAGUAGCAUUUGAGACACGAUGGAUAUAAACCAGGACUUCUGCGUUACUAUGAAGACAUAAUUUAUUUACUCGAACCAAAUUAUCUCGUAGGGGGAGCCAAGGAAGUUGAAUUCCUCAAGACUGAACUACGCUGUCAGCUGGCUUCCUUCCGGAGAAGUUUCUGCUUUAGCUAAAGAGUCUUUCAAACCACAGUUAU
rnacentral:lncRNA from 1 species